UAGAAAUUCCCAGAACCGAAACCCUCGGACGGUCUCUGCUGUGUUCUCAAUCGGCUGAGAUAUGGCUUCCGAGUCCUCAACUACUGCUCGUAGAGUUGUUGUGCAUCUAAGAGCGACUGGCGACGCACCGAUUCUCAAGCAAGCGAAGUUCAAGAUUGCAGGAACUGAUAAGUUUGCUAAGGUGAUUGACUUUCUUUGUCGCCAGCUUCACAGGGAGACUUUGUUUGUUUACCUCAACAGUGCAUUCUCACCCAAUCCUGAUGAGUUGGUCAUUGAUCUGUACAAUAAUUUUGGUUUUGAUGGGAAGUUGGUGGUCAAUUAUGCUUGUUCCAUGGCAUGGGGCUAACUCUCACCGAUGGAUCUCAGCUGCUUCUGCCACGUUCCUUAUAGUGAUUCGAUAUGCAGCUUCAACCAUAAACCUGUACCUGCCAACAUAUAAGGCUGGACGGCAGGGCAAGAAGAAUUGCAGAAAAAAGAAGGUCUGGAACAACUUAUCCUGAUGGGCCUACGCGAACUUCUCAGGAGGGUCACCCAUCCUUGGAUUACCCAGGUCAAGCACGCUUAACUUGGGAAUUAUUUGCCUACAUUCAGCUUAAAAGGAGUCCCGUCGCAUUUGGAAGCUUCUCAGUCACCCUUUGGGCAGUCGACCUCUAGGUGAUCGAGGUGGGACGAACCCGGUGCUAAUGCACCACUGCCAGAGUCUUCCCCCUAAGUGCAGUGGUGCUCGUGGGCGUGGACCGUCUCAGGGGUGACAGAGGAUAGUUCGGCCUAAGGGGUUCCCACAAACGGCGUCAAAUGUUGACACAUUUUUGUAACACCCCGCAUUGAGCGAUAGAAAGGUCCGGGACAACUUACCUUGAUGGGCCUAUGUGAACUUCCCAGGGGGGUCACCCAUCAUUGGAUUACCUCAGGUCAAGCACGCUUAACUUGAGAGUUCUUUACCUACAUUCAGCCUCAAAGGUAUCCAGUUGGUAUUGUUUUCUUCCUUACUUAUUUUUGAUAUAUAUUACCCUAAUUUUGGGUUCUUAGGGUAUUACACACAUCGUGUUAUACACAUCAUGGGCCCACAAUCACGGAUUAGCUCACAGCUAUCGCCCUUCGACGAUCAGGAGUCCUGUCGCACUUGUGAGCCUCUCAGUCACAUUGUGUUAAUUAAAUUAAAUUUAAAAAAAAUUGAAAGUUCGAUUACUAAUAAAAUCUAUUGCGAUGAUGGGAUCUCGCAAUUUAGAAUUCGAAGAGGGAGAGGGAGAAGAUAUGGAAAGGGAAACAACAAUCCCUCGUUCUCUAUCUCCAUCCUCUUUGGGUUUCAAUGAUUUGAGGCUCAUCGUGGCAAUGAACCCAUUGCAAUGAUGGGUUCUUGCAAUUUAGAAUCCAAAGAAAGAGGAGGAGAAGACAGAGAAAAGAAAACAACAAUCCCUCGUUCUCUAUAUGCAUUUUUUUUGGGUUUCAACAAUUUGAAACUCAUCAUCGUGAUGAUGGGUUUCAUCGGUUAGAAUCCAUCACGAUAGUUUUGUCAAUGGAUUCUAUUGGUUACUCAUUUUCUAAAAACUCUUGAAAUUUAUUUUUUUAUUUUAAGUUUUAUUUAAUUUAAUUAUAACUCAUCACUAUUUGAACUUUAAAUUUAAUCUAUGGAAUAUUUAAUUUUUAUAAUUUAUAUAUAUAUAUUAAUUAUUUAAUUUAAAAUAAUACGUAAUUUAUACGUCCAGUGAAUUUAAAAAAAAAAAUAGAAGAAUAAAAAAAAAAAAUCAACUGAAUUAAUCAUUUCUUCAGCAUUUGACGAUCUCUAUCUUGACCGAUACCGAUAAUUUCUCUUUUACUUCGACUACCUACUCUAAAUAAGUGUAUCUAUAUGUACGUGCUAGAUUUUAUAUUUAUAAUAAAGAGGUGGGACAUCCCGACCUUAUAUUUGCAUUUAUAUCGGCACGUGCAAAUCGACCAUAAAGUGGGAACCCAAAACCCAACAACGUGGGACCCAAAGCCAUGCGAGAAGAAACCACCGGCUGUAAUUGGUGCCAUACAUAUAUAUAUAUAUAUAUUGGGAUUGGCAUAGAAAUCAGUAUCGCCAUGGUCCGGUCCCAUCAAUUUCAUCAAACAAACACAGAAUUCGGCAUCAAAAGCGUGCCGAUGUUUUUGGAUUUAUUGAAUUUGGAUAAAAACGAUUUUCUUGGUGAAAUUUUUAGGGGAAAAUAAUCAAUUUUGGCGGGCUAACAGACA